rnacentral:rRNA from 1 species
GAUGAACGCUGGCGGCAUGCCUAAUACAUGCAAGUCGAACGAAGUUUGCUUUGGAGUGCGGAUGCUUGCAUUCAAGCGAAGAAGUAAACUUAGUGGCGAACGGGUGAGUAACACGUGAGUAACCUGCCCGGUAGACUGGGAUAACUAUUGGAAACGAUAGCUAAUACCAGAUAGGUACUAGAUCGGCAUCGAACUAGUAUUAAAGGAGCGAAUGCUCCGCUACUGGAUGGACUCGCGGUGCAUUAGCUAGUUGGUGAGGUAGAGGCUCACCAAGGGGAUGAUGCAGAGCCGACCUGAGAGGGUGAACGGCCACAUUGGGACUGAGACACGGCCCAGACUCCUACGGGAGGCAGCAGUAGGGAAUUUUCGUCAAUGGGGGAAACCCUGAACGAGCAAUGCCGCGUGAGUGAAGAAGGAUUUCGGUCUGUAAAGCUCUGUUGUAAAGGAAGAAAGCGAAGCAGAGGAAAUGCUACUUCGUUGACGGUACUUUACCAGAAAGCCACGGCUAACUACGUGCCAGCAGCCGCCGUAACAC